GGAUUGAGAGCUUGCUCUCAAGAAGUUAGCGGCGGACGGGUGAGUAACACGUGGGUAACCUGCCCAUAAGACUGGGAUAACUCCGGGAAACCGGGGCUAAUACCGGAUAACAUUUUGAACUGCAUGGUUCGAAAUUGAAAGGCGGCUUCGGCUGUCACUUAUGGAUGGACCCGCGUCGCAUUAGCUAGUUGGUGAGGUAACGGCUCACCAAGGCAACGAUGCGUAGCCGACCUGAGAGGGUGAUCGGCCACACUGGGACUGAGACACGGCCCAGACUCCUACGGGAGGCAGCAGUAGGGAAUCUUCCGCAAUGGACGAAAGUCUGACGGAGCAACGCCGCGUGAGUGAUGAAGGCUUUCGGGUCGUAAAACUCUGUUGUUAGGGAAGAACAAGUGCUAGUUGAAUAAGCUGGCACCUUGACGGUACCUAACCAGAAAGCCACGGCUAACUACGUGCCAGCAGCCGCGGUAAUACGUAGGUGGCAAGCGUUAUCCGGAAUUAUUGGGCGUAAAGCGCGCGCAGGUGGUUUCUUAAGUCUGAUGUGAAAGCCCACGGCUCAACCGUGGAGGGUCAUUGGAAACUGGGAGACUUGAGUGCAGAAGAGGAAAGUGGAAUUCCAUGUGUAGCGGUGAAAUGCGUAGAGAUAUGGAGGAACACC
rnacentral:rRNA from 1 species